AUUUCUUCAAGCUUUAAAAUGCAGCUCCAAAAAGCUUUAAACGCGUUAAAACUGAAUGAAUCCAACGCAGCCCCCAAGUCAACCAAAUUUGUAAACAUUUUCGAGGUAUUAUAUAAAAAAAAAAAGGCGGCACGGUGGAGCAGCUGGUAAAGCCUUGGCCUCACAGUUCUGAGGUCCCGGGUUCGAUCCCAGACCCGCCUGUGUGGAGUUUGCAUGUUCUCCGGGUGAGUACUCCGGUUUCCUCCCACAUCCCAAAAACUGAAUUUACAUGUAUUGGACCCUCCAAAUUGCCCCUAGGUGUGAUUGUGAGUGCGAACGGUUGUCCGCCUGUAUGUGCCCUGCGAUCGGCCGGCGACCAGUUCAGGGUCUACCCUGCCGACUCCCCGUUGACAGCUGGGAGAGGCUCCAAGCGCUCCCCGCCACCCUCGUGAGGAUAAGCGGCAAAGAAAAUGGAUGGAUGGAUGGAUAUAUAAAAAAAAAGACCUCAUACCAACAGACAUUAUAUAGAAAUAAAAUUGUUUCAUGAAGUGUAAAUGUCUGCACGCACUGUAGUAUCCGCGUGUUGUCUGGUUGCUUUUAAGGGGUCAUCUGAAACGGCCAAAUGUGAAGACCACGUACCAGCGCGUAAACAUUUUUUAUUUCGGGUACUCUUGAGAUUUUUCCAGACGUAAAUCGCAGCGUUUGCGGACCGCUGGUUUACAUUAGGGGAGCAGCGUUAGUGGUGCGGCGUUCCGCAGCGCGCGGCUGACAGCGGACAGGUUAAAAACUCUGCUCCGAACGUUCCGUUCCCCCGUCCACCCACUUGUGUUCCUCCUCCCGGGUGAAGACGAUCCAAACAAACUCAAAUUCCUGCCCACCGCGGCUGCGCGACGCACCCGUAAACAAAACGCUUCAGAUUUUCCACUCCUGGCCGACGGAGAAACGCGGACGUUGAUUUCUGACUCGGGGUCACGGAGGCGGCGGCGAAUGUAAACAGCGGAAGGGAGGCCGAGCGUUUGGCAAGCGUCCUCCGCGCUCAUGGUUUGGUUCAGGAGGACGCGGCUGUUUUGACACGAGGGUGAUGUAACGCGUUAUAAACCUCAAAUGACGUACCUGCCGCACGAUAAGCGACGGGAGUCUGACGGCCUUAUCUGCGGGCCGCUCUCCACCGGACUGACGACGGUGGGAAAUCCGAACUACUCCACCUUAGCGCUAACCGCGCAACCUGUACUUGUCGUCUACUCAAAUCCAGUCCUUCGGAAAGAACUGGAUCCUUGUACAGUUCCCUGUUCCCUAUUCUGCAGCCGCCAGAAAAUCCAUUGCCGUGGAAAUAAAGCUCAAGAUCGGAGAAAGGCGAGACACCGACGAACAUCGUGAUCACAAGUCUUGUCGAGAUGGCGAGAUUGAGGACCGGAUUCCUUCGCAGUAUCUAAGCGCCACCUCCCGUUCCUCUUCUCCAUCCAACUCUAAGCAGUCACGGAAGUCGUCAGGAUUCCCUAAACGGAUCCCGUCGGCCGGCUCGUGCGAAUCCGCCGCCGCCGCCGCCGGGAUGAGCGUUCCUGUCGGUACACGUUUUAAUUUUUUCCUUCCGGGAUCCCGGCGUGCCGUGCCCUCUCCGUGAAGGUCUGGGGGGUGCUGAGCCAAGUCCUCAUUGUAUGAAUUCCUCGCUGUCAAGUUCUCACACGGCCGCGUUCGACUGUGUGACGUUUUCGCGGAUUGGGCGCCUGUAAUUUGCCUCGCGGGGGUGUUGUUGUUGUUUUUUUUUUUUUUUCACCCCCUUUUGGGAAUUGUUUUCCCCCUUUGUUGCUACAAAGGACGUCCUGGAUCCUUCUCAGUUAACGCCCGUGAUUGAUACCAAAAUCAUUUGGUUCCCGCCUCCACGUCAAACUGUGGAUUUGGUACCCGGCCGGGCCUUCGGAGGGAUUUUGCCCAAUUUACUAUCACCGCUAUCAUAUCAUAAUUACAAAAAACUAACGGCACACAACGGUGACGUCGGGAGCAGUUUACAAUCAUUAUUCAUUGUUCUCCCAACUCAAGUGCAUUGGUAACUCUGUUUGACCUGUGGAGUUCCACAGGGUUCAAUGCCGGGACCCUUCCUGUUCAGUCUGUACGUCGUUCCGUGAGGCCACCUUAACUGCGGGUGAACGCGGGCCAGCAGAUUCACCGAGACUGCAUCGAAUUGAUCAGUGCGGAUGCAAAAUAUUUUGUCCGGCUGAAAUAAAUCAUUGUCUGUGGCACGAUGCAAAACAGCUCUGCUAGCGUCUUUGUGGUCCUGCACCAAAACUCAAAACUGUCAAAUCUGUGACAGGUUUAGAGCCAAAUUGGACCUUCUCAGUCCUUCAGACCCUCAGGGAGUCCUCUAAACUCGGUGAGGCUAUGUUUUAGUUUUGUACUGCUAAAAUCUGGAAAGGUCUUCCAUAUGAUGAUGAGACAGCCCUGAACUGUGACCAUGUUCAAAUCCCAAGCAUAUGAAAACAAAAUAUGUUUUUCUACAUUGCCCGCUUUUUAUGUAUUUAAAUCAUAAUUAUUUCUAUUUUUAUUUGAUGAUUUUAUUUCCCUCAUUAUCAUUUUAUA